rnacentral:rRNA from 1 species
UACGUAGGGCGCAAGCGUUGUCCGGAAUUAUUGGGCGUAAAGCGCGCGUAGGCGGGAUAUUAAGUCUAUUCUAAAAGUGCGGGGCUCAACCCCGUAAUGGGAUGGAAACUAAUAUUCUUGAGUACCGGAGAGGAAAGCGGAAUUCCCAGUGUAGCGGUGAAAUGCGUAGAUAUUGGGAGGAACACCAGUGGCGAAGGCGGCUUUCUGGACGGUGUCUGACGCUGAGGCGCGAAAGCCAGGGGAGCGAACGGG